rnacentral:miRNA from 1 species
UUAAUAAUCCCCACAUGCAUUAUAUCUGAUAUAUAUAUGUAAGUUUGUAUGUGUGUAUAUUAUAUAUAUACUUGUGUGUGUAUAUAUAAUAUACACACAUACAAAUUUACAUAUAUAUAUAUAUCAGAUAUAAUGCAUGUGGGGAUUAUUAA